rnacentral:rRNA from 1 species
GAUGAACGCUAGCUACAGGCUUAACACAUGCAAGUCGAGGGGUAACGAGAGGAAAGCUUGCUUUCCUUGUCGACGACCGGCGCACGGGUGAGUAACGCGUAUCCAACCUGCCCCCAACUAGGGCAUAACCUUGCGAAAGUAAGACUAAUACCCUAUAAUUUCCUCAGAUGUCAUCUGACGAGGAAUAAAGAUUUAUCGGUUGUGGAUGGGGAUGCGUCUGAUUAGCUUGUUGGCGGGGUAACGGCCCACCAAGGCAACGAUCAGUAGGGGUUCUGAGAGGAAGGUCCCCCACAUUGGAACUGAGACACGGUCCAAACUCCGACGGGAGGCAGCAGUGAGGAAUAUUGGUCAAUGGGCGGAAGCCUGAACCAGCCAAGUAGCGUGCAGGAUAACGGCCCUAUUGGUUGUAAACUGCUUUUAUACAGGAAUAAAGUUAGCCACGUGUGGUUAUUUGUAGGUACUGUAUGAAUAAGGACCGGCUAAUUCCGUGCCAGCCGCCGCCGUAA